ACCUACGGGACGCAGCAGUGGGGAAUAUUGCACAAUGGGGGAAACCCUGAUGCAGCGACGCCGCGUGAGUGAAGAAGUAUUUCGGUAUGUAAAGCUCUAUCAGCAGGGAAGAAAAUGACGGUACCUGACUAAGAAGCCCCGGCUAACUACGUGCCAGCAGCCGCGGUAAUACGUAGGGGGCAAGCGUUAUCCGGAUUUACUGGGCGUAAAGGGAGCGUAGACGGUGAUGCAAGUCAGAAGUGAAAGCCCGCGGCUCAACUGCGGGACUGCUUUUGAAACUGUAUAACUAGAGUGCAGGUGAGGUA
rnacentral:rRNA from 1 species